GAUUCUUUCAAACUUCUAAGUCUGCUGUAUGUAAUCUGUCUUGUCUUAUAGGCUGCCAUUUGAAUUUCUCUUGGCUUUAUUAAGAAGUAAUGGGGAGCCUGUGUACCCCUUAAUAGAUUCCCCUGGUAGUGGCUCUAACACAACUGUUGUAUAAUUUCACAACAAAGACAUCACCAUUAUAAAGAGCACAGUGCAAUAACAUCAGAAAUCAAAAGCAAGGAAAUCUAUGUAACUGUACAAAUGUAAUGGAGUCUAAACAACAACAACAAAAACAACAAAAAGAGACUUGGAAAAAAGCUGUAUCCCAAAGGUUUUGAUCCAUGGCUGGCCUAUAAGACAGAAAGAGCCAGGACAACCCAACCAGAAGAGCCACCACCAAAUUCACGAGGAUCCACGGCCCAAGAAUCCGUUCCUCGACUUCCGCUGCCCUGGAGAAGAGAAGCAAGCGCUCAGUAGAAAUGCCUUCAUUCUUGUUCACAGGUCCAGAUGGAACUACUUCAUAAACUUUUAAAAAGUAGUCCUCUCCCAGAGCAACACCAAGUAUGAGGAUGGCUAAGUGGAAUAUCAUCUAAAAAACAGAAAGAACAAUAAGAAAAAUGGCAGAGAAUCAGCUGAACAGAACUUCUAGUAAGGAAGACUUUCCCUCUCUUCUCUGGAGCCAACCAACAUUCACAUACGAGGGGAAUGAAAGGUGGAAGGGCCCGUGGAGGAUGCUGUAGGAGUAAGGGAAAGACAAAAACAAAAACAAAAAAAAUUCAUAAACAAAAGCCGGUGCAUCUUACCUUCAUUCAUCUCAAGUACCACAAAGCUACACAUCCCAAAACCUGAUGUUCAGAUGUAAGAUGAAUAAAAUGGAUCAGAGAUUCUCUUCAAA